UACGUAGGUGGCAAGCGUUAUCCGGAAUUAUUGGGCGUAAAGAGCGCGCAGGUGGUUAAUUAAGUCUGAUGUGAAAGCCCACGGCUUAACCGUGGAGGGUCAUUGGAAACUGGUUGACUUGAGUGCAGAAGAGAGAAGUGGAAUUCCAUGUGUAGCGGUGAAAUGCGUAGAGAUAUGGAGGAACACCAGUGGCGAAGGCGGCUUCCUGGUCUGCAACUGACACUGAGGCGCGAAAGCGUGGGGAGCAAACAGG
rnacentral:rRNA from 1 species